rnacentral:rRNA from 1 species
UACGUAGGGGGCUAGCGUUGUCCGGAAUCAUUGGGCGUAAAGAGCGUGUAGGCGGCCCGGUAAGUCCGCUGUGAAAGUCGGGGGCUCAACCCUCGAAUGCCGGUGGAUACUGUCGGGCUAGAGUGCGGAAGAGGCGAGUGGAAUUCCUGGUGUAGCGGUGAAAUGCGCAGAUAUCAGGAGGAACACCAAUUGCGAAGGCAGCUCGCUGGGACGUAGCUGACGCUGAGACGCGAAAGCGUGGGGAGCAAACAGG